rnacentral:rRNA from 1 species
GACGAACCGUGCUAACGUUGUUCGGAAUCACUGGGCUUAAAGGGCGCGUAGGCGGGCCAGCAAGUCAGGGGUGAAAUCCCACGGCUCAACCGUGGAAGGGCCUUUGAUACUGUCGGCCUCGAGGGAGGUAGGGGCGUGCGGAACUUCCGGUGGAGCGGUGAAAUGCGUAGAUAUCGGAAGGAACAUCGGUGGCGAAAGCGGCGCGCUGGACCUCUUCUGACGCUGAGGCGCGAAAGCCAGGGGAGCAAAGCGGG